GACGAACGCUGGCGGCGUGCUUAACACAUGCAAGUCGAACGGAAAGGCCCUGCUUUUGUGGGGUGCUCGAGUGGCGAACGGGUGCGUAACACGGGAGUAACCUGCCUUUGACUUUGGGAUAACUUCAGGAAACUGGGGCUAAUACCGGAUAGGAGCUCCUGCUGCAUGGUGGGGGUUGGAAAGUUUCGGCGGUUGGGGAUGGACUCGCGGCUUAUCAGCUUGUUGGUGGGGUAGUGGCUGACCAAGGCUUUGACGGGUAGCCGGCCUGAGAGGGUGACCGGCCACAUUGGGACUGGGAUACGGCCCAGACUCCUACGGGAGGCAGCAGUGGGGAGUAUUGCACAAUGGGCGGAGGCCUGAUGCAGCAACGCCGCGUGCGGGAUGACGGCCUUCGGGUUGUAAACCGCUUUCGCCUGUGACGAAGCGUGAGUGACGGUAAUGGGUAAAGAAGCACCGGCUAACUACGUG
rnacentral:rRNA from 1 species